UACGUAGGGGGCAAGCGUUGUCCGGAUUUAUUGGGUGUAAAGAGCGUGUAGGCGGCCAUACAGGUCCGUUGUGAAAACUGGAGGCUUAACCUCCAGACGUCGAUGGAAACCGUAUGGCUAGAGUCCGGAAGAGGAGAGUGGAAUUCCUGGUGUAGCGGUGAAAUGCGCAGAUAUCAGGAAGAACACCCGUGGCGAAGGCGGCUCUCUGGGACGGUACUGACGCUGAGACGCGAAAGCGUGGGGAGCGAACAGG
rnacentral:rRNA from 1 species